rnacentral:rRNA from 1 species
CCUACGGGAGGCAGCAGUGAGGAAUAUUGGACAAUGGUCGGAAGACUGAUCCAGCCAUGCCGCGUGCAGGAUGAAGGUCUUAUGGAUUGUAAACUGCUUUUGUAAGGGAAGAAUAAGGGCUACGCGUAGUUUGAUGACGGUACCUUACGAAUAAGCAUCGGCUAACUCCGUGCCAGCAGCCGCGGUAAUACGGAGGAUGCGAGCGUUAUCCGGAAUCAUUGGGUUUAAAGGGUCUGUAGGCGGGCUGGUAAGUCAGAGGUGGAAGCGCUCAGCUCAACUGAGCAACUGCCUUUGAAACUGUUGGUCUUGAAUGGUUGUGAAGUAGUUGGAAUGUGUAGUGUAGCGGUGAAAUGCUUAGAUAUUACGAAGAACUCCGAUUGCGAAGGCAGCUUGCGGGAGCACAACUGACGCUGAAGCUCGAAAGUGCGGGUAUCGAACAGGAUUAGAUACCCUGGUAGUCCGCACGGUAAACGAUGGAUGCCCGUUGUCAGGCUGUUUCAGCCUGGUGACCAAGCGAAAGCAUUAAGCAUCCCACCUGGGGAGUACGCCGGCAACGGUGAAACUCAAAGGAAUUGACGG